GGACAUACACAGAUACCGACUGCAUUUGCUACAUGGACCCAGGCAUGAUCCUAGACCAUGAAUACCACCAUGACCCUGGUUGGAAAUGUAGGUCACUGAGAUCAGCAAGGAAGCAACAGCAUGCCCCAGGAUGGUCCAGGUGGUGACCCAGAUUACAGGAGAACUGAGUCACCAGACCCAUGGAUCUGAUUAGGAGUGGACCACCUGGAGGAAACAGAUGCACACUGCAGAGAGCCUGUAAUCAGCAGGAGUGAACUGCACACAGAUCUGCACAAAGGCUGUGACUGAGAGACUUCCAUAUGGCAAGAAUCCCCAGAAGGACUGAAUCCAGGUACCGGGACACACAUGGUUCUAACUGUUCCUCCAAGCUUGGCUCCUACCUCAUCUCAGAGAUGUUGAAGUGAUCCUGCAG